AGUGAACGCUGGCGGCAGGCCUAAUACAUGCAAGUCGAACGGCAGCACAGCAGAGCUGCUCUGUGGGUGGCGAGUGGCGGACGGGUGAGGAAUACAUGGGAAUCUGCCCAGACGUGGGGGAUAACGUAGGGAAACUUACGCUAAUACCGCAUGCGCCCUUCGGGGGAAAGCCGGGGGACCUUCGGGCCUGGCGCGAUUGG
rnacentral:rRNA from 1 species